UACGUAGGGGGCGAGCGUUGUCCGAAUUCACUGGGCGUAAAGCGCGCGUAGGCGGGCUAUUAAGUUGGGGGUGAAAUUCCGAGGCUUAACCUCGGAACUGCCUUCAAAACUGGUAGCCUUGAGGUAUGGAGAGGGAAGUGGAAUUCCAGGUGUAGCGGUGAAAUGCGUAGAUAUCUGGAGGAACACCCGUGGCGAAGGCGGCUUCCUGGCCAUAUCCUGACGCUGAGGUGCGAAAGCUAGGGGAGCGAACGGG
rnacentral:rRNA from 1 species